rnacentral:rRNA from 1 species
AAUUUUGCGCAAUGGGGGGAACCCUGACGCCGCGACGCCGCGUGAGCGACGAAGGCCUUCGGGUCGUAAAGCUCAGUCAUUGGGGAUGCAUAAGGACAGUACCCACAGAGGAAGCCCCGGCUAACUCCGUGCCAGCCGCCGCGGUAAUACGUAGGGGGCGAGCGUUGUCCGGAAUUACUGGGUGUAAAGGGCGUGUAGGCGGGGGUGCAAGUUAUCGGUAAAAACCCGAGGCUCAACUUCGGGCUUGCCGGUAAAACUGUAUCUCUUGAGUGCAGGAGAGGGAAGUGGAAUUCCCGGAGUAGCGGUGAAAUGCGUAGAUACCGGGAGGAACACCAGUGGCGAAGGCGGCUUCCUGGCCUGCUACUGACGCUGAGGCGCGAAAGCUAGGGUAGCGAACG